AGUGAACGUUGGCGGCGUGGAUUAGGCAUGCAAGUCGAGCGAGAACCGUAGCAAUACGGGGACAGCGGCGAAAGGGACAGUAAUGUGUAGGUACCUACCUCCGGGUUCGGGAUAGCUGCGGGAAACUGCAGGUAAUACCGAAUAACGUCUCCGGACCAAAGGUGUGAUUCCACCUGGAGAGGGGCCUGCAUCCUAUUAGCUUGUUGGCGGGGUAACGGCCCACCAAGGCGACGAUGGGUAGCGGGUGUGAGAGCACGACCCGCGUCAUUGGGACUGAGACACUGCCCAGCCACCUACGGGUGGCUGCAGUCGAGGAUCUUCGGCAAUGGGCGCAAGCCUGACCGAGCGACGCCGCGUGCGGGAUGAAGGCCUUCGGGUUGUAAACCGCUGUCGUAGAGGAGGAAGUGCAGGGGGGUUCUCCCCUCUGUUUGACCUAUUCUAGGAGGAAGGACGGGCUAAGUUCGUGCCAGCAGCCGCCGUAA
rnacentral:rRNA from 1 species